rnacentral:rRNA from 1 species
GAAACACGGACCAAGGAGUCUAGCAUGUGCGCGAGUCAUUGGGAAUCUAUAAACCUAAAGGCGCAAUGAAAGUGAAGGUCUGCCUUGUGCAGGCCGAGGGAAGAUGGGCGUGCCGUUUUGCGACGGCCGCUCCGCACUCCCGGGGCGUCUCGCUCUCAUCGCGAGAAGAGGCGCACCAAGAGCGUACACGCUGGGACCCGAAAGAUGGUGAACUAUGCCUGGUCAGGACGAAGUCAGGGGAAACCCUGAUGGAGGUCCGUAGCGAUUCUGACGUGCAAAUCGAUCGUCGGAACUGGGUAUAGGGGCGAAAGACUAAUCGAACCAUCUAGUAGCUGGUUCCCUCCGAAGUUUCCCUCAGGAUAGCUGGCGCUCGUCGCCUACGAGUCUCAUCCGGUAAAGCGAAUGAUUAGAGGCAUUGGGGUCGAAACGGCCUCAACCUAUUCUCAAACUUUAAAUGGGUGAGAUCUCCGGCUUGCUCGAACUGUUGAAGCCGCGAGACACGGAUCAGAGUGCCAAGUGGGCCAUUUUUGGUAAGCAGAACUGGCGCUGUGGGAUGAACCAAACGCCGAGUUAAAGCGCCCAAAUCGACGCUUAUGGGAUACCAUGAAAGGCGUUGGUAACUUAAGACAGCAGGACGGUGGCCAUGGAAGUCGGAAUCCG